rnacentral:lncRNA from 1 species
CCGACAUACAACAUUUUUUAUUCUAAAUCCUGCAGGUAUUUCCCAUGUCUUUAUUUAGUGAUUUCUCUUAAUUUAGUGAAAUGGUUAGAAAGAUGAUGUUAUAGUAGAUUCACGGUAUGUUCACUUUUCUCUCCCACUUUCCCUUAGUUUCGAGGCAGACGAAGGGUAUGAGGCUGUUUUUCUUCGGGGACGGACGGCAGAUCUAUGUUCUUGCCCCCCCCCCCAAAAAAAAAUAACAAAAAACCCCCACAACGACAACCGGGAAGCAUGCUCAGGAAGCGUUGCYUAUUUCUCAUUCUCCAUCCAGGAAUGUGAACGGCUUGAAUAUUAAGGGUUCAGUAGGAUCAAGGGGAACGGACUCGGGCCGACCGUCUCCGAGGCCGAAGGAUCUGGACUCCGUAGAGGGCUGGGAACGUGUUCCGGCGAAAUCUGAGUCCAGCCUUUCGCUCGGUCAGGUGUGGAGUCCAGGCCCGGGGCAAGGAGAGGACGUCCACCCAAGCCUGAAAGCGCGUUGCCAUGGUUUCCCGAGCUYGAUUCCUCCCUACGCCCCCGGCUUCGCGCGCGGCGCUGGGGAUUCCGUAGUUUCCGCUUCCGGUCGCGAGCGCCGGGGUCGGGCGCGUUCUGAGGGUGCCGGGUCCUGAAGAGUGAAGACCUAAAUCCAAGGUCAUGGCAAAGCACCUGAAGUUCAUUGCCAGGACUGUGAUGGUACACGAAGGGAACGUGGAAGGUGCAUACAGAACCCUGAACAGGUAACUACGUAAAGGGAUCAGAAACAGGACUGGGUGGACUCUCUGGGAAGUGAGGUCGUUACCCACCCAUACACACCCAUCACGGAUUGUUCUCAAACCAGUGCCAACCCAGGUGGGGGUCUAGUCUUUUGAAACUUCUCAGCCCCACAGUUUAUUUUCUUAAAAAUGAAAUUCUUCCUAAAACCUAACUGUGAAGCUUAUUCAUCAAGCAAUACUCAUCCCUUUGAUAAUGAACCUGAGUUUUAUCCAGGACUUACAAAAGAAACCAAAGGGAAAAUUGAGAUGUGAAGUUGCUAGGAAGCAGUAACAUUGGUAAAUAGCUAAGGGAGGGAUUGGUGUAGGACAAGUUCAAUGGAAGAGAUUAAUUUAGAUUGGGAUCUUGGAGAAACAAGCAAGAGAUGGGAUGUCAUUAAAGGUUUACAGGAGGGUUACAGAUAAAC